GUGCUGAUUUUGGCAACACUUAUACUAAAAUUGGAAUGAUACAGAGAAGAUUAGCAUGGCCCUGGGCAAGAAUGACACACAUAAAUUCGUCAAGUGUUCUAUAUUUUU
rnacentral:snRNA from 1 species